rnacentral:rRNA from 1 species
GAGUUUGAUCGUGGCUCAGGAUGAACGCUGGCGGCGUGCCUAACACAUGCAAGUCGAACGGAGUUCUUAAGGAAUGCGGCUUCGGCCAAAUGACUUUUGAACUUAGUGGCGGACGGGUGAGUAACGCGUGAGCAACCUGGCCUUUCAGAGGGGGAUAACAUUUGGAAACAGAUGCUAAUACCGCAUAAGAUUACAGUACCGCAUGAUACAGUGAUCAAAGGAGCAAUCCGCUGAAAAGAUGGGC